GACACUCCUGCAAUUGGGAAAUUGUCUCAUUGCAAUCCCAGACAGCUGACCGCGGCUCAAAUGACAACUGGUAAUACGGAGCUAUUAAUAUCAGCAGCUACAUGUGUCCACACUGCCCGGGGUCGAUAGCUGUAGCUGUAGCUGUAGCUGUAUCUGUAUGCAACACUAUAGCUGUGUAGGUGUGGCCUGUUACCAUUUUUGGGGUCGCUAUCUCGCACUUUGUGUGAGACACCCAGGAAAUUGAUCAGUUAACAUUAUCUUCAAGUGCUUAUCUAAUGUGUCUGUUGAUAGCAUUACUGCUGCAUAAAUAUAUGAAUAAAUUGUGUAACGAAUCGUG
rnacentral:sRNA from 1 species